rnacentral:rRNA from 1 species
AACGAACGCUGGCGGCAGGCUUAACACAUGCAAGUCGAACGCAUCCUUCGGGAUGAGUGGCAGACGGGUGAGUAACGCGUGGGAAUUUACCCAGCUCUACGGAACAACUCAGGGAAACUUGAGCUAAUACCGUAUACGCCCUUUGGGGAAAGAUUUAUCGGAGUUGGAUGAGCCCGCGUUUGAUUAGCUAGUUGGUGGGUAAAGGCCUACCAAGGCGACGAUCAAUAGCUGGUCUGAGAGGAUGAUCAGCCACACUGGGACUGAGACACGGCCCAGACUCCUACGGGAGGCAGCAGUGGGGAAUAUUGGACAAUGGGCGCAAGCCUGAUCCAGCCAUGCCGCGUGAGUGAUGAAGGCCCUAGGGUUGUAAAGCUCUUUCAACGGUGAAGAUAAUGACGGUAACCGUAGAAGAAGCCCCGGCUAACUUCGUG